rnacentral:lncRNA from 1 species
GGCAGUCUUGGUUUUCUGCUAGUGCUGCUGCUGCUGGGAGGACGACGGACGGCAGCGGCCAAGCAAGAAGAAAGACGUGGCAGCAAGCGGGAGUCGGGGAUAGUGUCAUCGGUUCGGUAAAGUUUCUGUUCUCUGAUUUGGGGAUAUUCCCUGCCCAAAAAAUUCCUGGAAAAUUGACUAGUAUUAAGUGUGAGUAAAAGGUGUCCACUUUUUUUUAAGUUUUGAUUUUAGUUUUGUCUUGGAUAGUAUUUGGCAAGAUUUAGCCUAGAAAUUAUGUAGUAUUUAUUACAUAAGAAUCAAAAUUGCUUUGUUACUGGGCUGGUUUCAAAGUUUAGAACUCAUUUCUAUGUAUCAAAAUCGGGUUUUUUUUGGUUUUGAUUUUUUUUUUUUUUAAAUUCUUAAAUGGUAAAUAUGCCAUUGUGAAAUGAAAUCUCAACUCCAAAAGUUUACCCUUUUACUAACUGGAGUAAAUGUAUACUUACAAAGUCUUUAGCUGUAGCCAUUAGUAGUAAAGAAUUUGGACCUAGGCUGCGUAAGCAAGCCUUUCCAGGGCCACUAUUUAAUGGCAAACCAGUGAUACUGGUGUUGAUACAAAAUAAGAAAUAAAUUUUCCCUUAGAUAAAGCUUUCUGUGUUUUGACAGUGCCAGUUUAGAAUGGCUAUAAUGCUGCUCUGCCUUCUACAGCUUGCUGCACCACUCUGUAGUUACUCUAUUACCAUACGUUUCUAUCUUUUUUGGUUAAACACUCCCUGAUGACGAUGAUGGAUAUAUAUACAUACAUCCAUAUUAUACAUAAUGAUAUAUGUGUAAGGAUUUACCUUC